UUUCCUCUGGCUUCGACUUGACAUUUCACAUUCUUUCUGACCUUGGCGAGCGGCAAGGUUUCAGAGGCCCUCAUCGUGCACCGAUUCCAGGCGUUUGCGGCGAGAGUGAGAAGUAGGUCAAGUGGCUGACACUGUUUCAGAGCGCAAUAGGGGGAUACUUUAAGUCUAUUGAAGCAGUUAAGAUAAGCCAUCGGUAUGGGAUUCUCGCUUUCGCUUCCAGGCUUGUACCUGCUUGAGAGCAGAGAAGUGGAUGAGCUCGGGGAGGGUGAACCUCAUCAGUAUUGUAAAGGCUAUUGUUUCCCCAUCACACCCUGACAGGAAGUGGACUUAAGUGCAAAAAUGUAUUAUCAUCAUUUGCUAUUUAGAGUUUAGAGCACAGGUAUCAAAUUAAUUUUACAUCACGGACCACAUACACGUUACUUUGAUCUUAUGUGGGCCGUACCAGUGAAACUCCCCUUUCUGUCAGUGUGCAGAAGCUUAACUACACAUUUAAACCCAGAGAGAUUUUAAUAUAAAAAAAAAGAAAGUCAAAUUUCAACAGCAUUUCUAAAUGAUAAAGAAAUGCUGCUGCAGUAAAUGUAUGAAAUCUGUCAGCACAACUCUUUGGGCUUAAAUUCUGUGUAGCAGUAAUGUUUAAAAUGAUAGAAAUCUAUUAUUUAUUUACUUUGGGGUAGUAUGAAUGGUAAUGGGGAAGGUCUGGAUCAGUAAAAAAAAAAAAAAAAAAAAAAAAAAAAAAAAAGGCUUCAAAACUUGUAAAAGGACGGUCAAAAGUCAUAUAUUCAUGUCCUCCUACACAUUUUCCAUCAAGUGGGCCGGAUUGGAGUCUUGGGCGGCCGAUUCUUGCCCCUGGGACUUAUGUUUGCCAACCCUGAUUUAGACAGAUUUUCCUGACCUUUAAUAAUAAAGACAAGUUAUUUCUCCAAACGAGCUACUGUGUCUUAAUUUAAACAUUUUUAAUGCAUAAAUGUCCCCCCUUUUUUUUUUUAAACCACAAGUUGCACGUGGUGGCGUCGAACGGAAAAGGGGGUAAUAUUAGAAGCGGCCAAUGCACC
ensembl:lncRNA